CCUACGGGAGGCAGCAGUGGGGAAUAUUGGGCAAUGGAGGCAACUCUGACCCAGCAAAGCCGCGUGAAUGAUGAAGGUCUUCGGAUUGUAAAGUUCUGUGAUGGGGGAUGAACACAAUGACGGUACUCCAAUAGCAAGCCACGGCUAACUACGUGCCAGCAGCCGCGGUAAUACGUAGGUGGCAAGCGUGAUCCGGAAUGACUGGGGGUAAAGGGUGCGUAGGUGGUUUUGUAAGUUGGAGGUGUAAUUCCGGGGCUCAACCUCGGCGCUACCGCAAAAACUGGUAGACUGGAGUGCAGGAGAGGUAAGUGGAAUUCGUGGUGUAGCGGUGAAAUGCGUAGAUAUUAGGAGGAACACCAGGGGCGAAGGCGGCUUACUGGACUGUAACUGACACUGAGGCACGAAAGCGUGGGGAGCAAACAGGAUUAGAUACCCUAGUAGUC
rnacentral:rRNA from 1 species